AACCUUUUUCGGUCUUUUGGCUAAAAUCAAGUGUAUUACCUUUUUUUAUUAGUUUAAUAUCCAACGUGAACAAUGUGUCCACUUUGAUAUUAUUUUUUUGUGGAAGGGAACACCAUAGAUGCGCGCUACUGGACCCACAUGUAUCACCUAACCGUUGCGCUGCUGGUAGGAUCUGACCGCUACCC
rnacentral:snRNA from 1 species